UGUUGAACUCUAUUAUUAGUUUGGACCACCUUUGACCUUGAUUUCAGCAUGCAUUUGCUCUGGCAUUGUUUUCAUAACCUUCUGCAAGAUCACAAGAUCUUGAAUUGAUGAUGAUGAUGGGAGAUUUGAACCACUGUGCAAAGCAUUAGCCUUAGUCUUCUCCAGCACAUCCUAAAGAUAUUCAUUGAAGUUCAGGUCUGGACUGUCUGGCGUGUGGUGGCCAAUUCAUGUGUGAAAUGAGAAAUUAACCCUGCACUCUUUCACAGUUUAACCCCGAUGAAUCCUGGCAUUGUCAUCUUGGAAUAUGCCCGUGGUGGUUCAAGAUUUUCAGUUUGUCAGCUUCCCUCAUUCUUUGGGCAACCAAUUUUUAUUUUAUUUAAUUUUUUUAUGUUAUGAAAGAAAAUCUGUGCAUUAGGAUUUGCCAUAAUGAUCACAAGAUUUUGGAUGUGAUAAUUUCUCUGCUAAUCUGAAACAAUAUAAACCUCUACAGCUCAUGUAUCUCUGUACUACUUGCCUUCGCCUGAUUUGGCACACAACCUUUCACAGCCAUUGUGUUUUGCUAGCACAGGUGCAGGAGUUUGGCCAGUCUGAGUGAAAAUGUAGACUGAGAAAUUUUCUGAGAAGAAUUUAGCAUGGCCAAAAGCCAGAAAACUGCCUUUUAAGGCAGACCGGAAUGCUUUCUGAUGCUUUGGAGCACAUGCUCUCAUGAUGGUUAAGAGCAAAAUUAGCUUGUUAUUUGGAGUGUAAAGUAUCCAGCUGCCUUUCAAAAACCUUUUUAAUCCCUGUAAGAAACAUGCUCCGCAUUCCUCCUCUGGGAAAUCACGUCACACUGUAAGCCUAUUAGUGAUCAGAUGCAGAGGUGCAUGCUUUUUAUCAUCAUUUCAUCUGAACAAGCUUCUGGGAUGGGAGUCCACUUCGAGUAGCUGUGGAGAGAGUCUAACUGAGUCAUUAGGUUUGAAGUAUUGAAUCUCAGAGGUCAGUGAAGAAGUGGGUUACAGGUUCAAGUUGAGUUUUGAGUCUGGGGUACAAGUUUAAAUUGGGUUUUAAGUCUUGGGUACAGGUUUAAGUUGGAUUUUAAGUCUGGGGUACAGGUUCAAGUUGAGUUUUGAGUCUGGGGUACAGGUUUAAGUUGGGUUUUAAGUCUGGGGUACAGGUUCAAGUUGAGUUUUGAGUCUGGGGUACAGGUUUAAGUUGGGUUUUAAGUCUGGGGUACAGGUUCAAGUUGAGUUUUGAGUCUGGGGUACAGGUUUAAGUUGGGUUUUAAGUCUGGGGUACAGGUUUAAGUUGAGUUUUGAGUCUGGGGUACAGGUUCAAGUUGAGUUUUGAGUCUGGGGUACAGGUUUAAGUUGGGUUUUAAGUCUAGGGUACAGGUUCAAGUUGAGUUUUGAGUCUGGGGUACAGGUUUAAGUUGGGAUUUGAGUUUCUGGUUUAGGUUUAAAUUGAGUCCUGAGUCAUUGGUGAACAGGUUUAAGUUAAACGUUAAGUUAAAUGUUUCUGUGGUACAGGUUUAAGUUGAUUUUUGAGUCUUUGGAGUAGAAGUUCAGGCUGAGUUUUGAGUCUCUGGUUCAGGUUUAAAUUGAGUCUUGAAUCUUUGGUGAACAGGUUUAAGUUAUGUCAAAGUCAGUUUCUGUGGUAUAGUUUUUGAAGUCAAAGUUCUUGUUGAGUUUUAAGUCUCUGGUUUAGGUUUUAAUUGAGUUUUGAAUCUUUGGUGUACAGGUUUAUGUUGAGAAACAAAUGUUUCUGUGGUAUGGGUUUAAGUUGAGUCCCUGGGGUGAAAGUCUGUGUAAAGUUUAUGGGGUGCAGAUUGAAAUUGAAGCUUGAGAUUUUGGGGUUCAGUUCUGUGUGAAGUUAAGUCUUGAGCCUCUGAAAGACAGGUGCAAGGUGAGUCUUGAGUCUUUGGUGUGCAAGUUAGAGUGUAAAACUCAAAUGAAAGCACUGCUUUAGUCUUUCUGCCUCUGGGUUUAAAGUCUGAAUAAAAUACACUAAAGUAGGUUAGGUAUUAAACAUAAUAGAUAAACAAAUUGAAGGCUUAAAGUGGUGUGUUCUAUAACUUGUUAAAACUUAAUUGAGACUAUUGGUAGGACCAGGAAAUUGCUAGUGACCUCUUAUUAAGGAGUCUCAGUAAUUAGAAAUCAGAUUAAUGUCUUUUAAGGUAACUAUGCCAUCACUGGUGUUGUUCAUUGAAAAAGUGAGAAAAUCUAAACUUAUUUUUUUUGCAUUGCCCAGCUCACAUAUGCAUGUACACACAUGUAGUUUCAAAUGACCAGAAACCACCAAAUUAAACAGAAUCUAC